UUCAUUCCAGUGUCAUAGUAUGACAUUCGCAGCAUAUAAUCCACAAGAAUCCGCUUCUAACGUUUGUUGCUCCAUUCUGAAAGAUUCUCUGCAUCUACUGAUUCUAAAUAGUCAAGUCGAGCGCGACACCUUUGUGCUUGCAAGUGCUCUGUUCUACUUCCCUCUUCCAGCUUUCUUUUGAGUCCCUGCAAUCUAGACACGAGAGGCAAUCUAGCCACGAGAGAGGUAAGAUGCUGAAUGACGUCGUCUUUGGUCAUAUCUGAAUCAGCGGCGUCAAUGACGCCGGAUAUGACGGAAGAUACUUCCUUCUCGACGACACGGUGGUUAGCUCGGAUCGUUUUCUUGUAAUGCUCGAAGGGCACUCGCAAGAACUGAUGCUCCAGCUUUAAAGAUUCCGUCAGUUGCGUCAGUUUGGAGGACGGCGUUGUGUGGGUGGGGNNNNNNNNNNNNNAUGGUGGCGGCGGGAGCGGAGACGGCGGAGUUACCGUUUGGAAGGGAAUCCAUUUCCAUCGCGAAGGGAAUGGAAGGGAAGGGAAUUGAGGAUUCUCUUGGAUUUUUUUCGUUUUUUUNNCGUUUUUUUUUUUUUUCAGCAGAUUGGAAUCAUUGGACUAUCAGAGAAGACAAGCAACGGACGAAAUCUCGGGUGUUAGACGGCAGCGUU
rnacentral:misc_RNA from 1 species